ACCACACUUUGUUUAGGAAGACCAGACUGGCAUAGAACCAGAUCGAGCUGAUAUUUUUGUUGCAUCACAGACUAGAUCAGAUGGAAGUUUAGUGUGCAACGAAGCAAGAGUCUCUGUGGAUAAACUUUCACAAGUAAUGACUCAGAAUAUAAGAAAUGGAGUACUAAAUAAUGAGGCUAGGCCAAAUGAUGCAUUUGAGCAAGUGUUUGGUCCUGAGCAUCCGGGACGAGUUCGAUGAGUUGGACAUGGACCCACACCGUUCAAGUAUUUUUCAAAUCUGGAAUCUACUACGUCUAAUGCCGAGAUGAUAGAUAUGAAGCACCGUAAGAAAGGACUUGAAGAUAAACUAGAGAUCGUGACUAAUGUUCUGUUUGCUCUUACUGGAUCAAGAACUCAUUUUCAGGAAAGUAGCAUUACGAAGACUUGAACUGAAGCAGAAAGCCAUUUGACUUGAAACUGAUGUGCGUUGGGUGUGGAACAAGGCAGUUGACUGGGAAUAACGGAAUUUCUUAUUUUUAU